AUACCGCGUUGCCUAAUGGAUAUGGCGUCUGACUUCGAAUCAGAAGAUUGCAUGUUUGAAUCAUGUCGCGGACG